AGAGGGUGCAAGCGUUGUUCGGAAUUAUUGGGCGUAAAGCGCGUGUAGGCGGCUUUGCAAGUCGGGUGUGAAAGCCCUCAGCUCAACUGAGGAAGUGCGCCCGAAACUGCAGAGCUUGAGUACCGGAGAGGAUGGUGGAAUUCCCCAAGUAGAGGUGAAAUUCGUAGAUAUGGGGAGGAACACCGGUGGCGAAGGCGACCAUCUGGACGGAUACUGACGCUGAGACGCGAAAGCGUGGGUAGCAAACAGGAUUAGAUACCCUGGUAGUCCACGCCGUAAACGAUGAGAACUAGGUGUCGGGGGUGUUGACCCCCGCGGUGCCGUAGCUAACGCAUUAAGUUCUCCGCCUGGGAAGUACGGCCGCAAGGCUA
rnacentral:rRNA from 1 species